rnacentral:rRNA from 1 species
AUGCAGUCGAGCGGAGUUUUGAAAAGCUUGCUUUUCAAAACUUAGCGGCGGACGGGUGAGUAACACGUGGGCAACCUGCCCUUGAGACGGGGAUAACUCCGGGAAACCGGAGCUAAUACCGGAUAACACAUAUCUUCGCAUGAGGAUAUGUUAGAAGGUGGCUUUUAGCUACCACUCAAGGAUGGGCCCGCGGCGCAUUAGCUAGUUGGUGAGGUAACGGCUCACCAAGGCGACGAUGCGUAGCCGACCUGAGAGGGUGAUCGGCCACACUGGGACUGAGACACGGCCCAGACUCCUACGGGAGGCAGCAGUAGGGAAUCUUCCGCAAUGGACGAAAGUCUGACGGAGCAACGCCGCGUGAGUGAUGAAGGUUUUCGGAUCGUAAAGCUCUGUUGUUAGGGAAGAACAAGUACCUGUUAAAUAAGCAGGUACCUUGACGGUACCUAACCAGAAAGCCACGGCUAACUACGUGCCAGC